CGGUAACAGCCCGGUAGUUGAAAUGGCUUUCCCUCCAGAGUGGAUCCUGAGUACGGCGGAACACGUGAAAUUCCGUCGGAAUCCGGGAGGACCAUCUCCCAAGGCUAAAUACUCCCUAGUGACCGAUAGUGAACCAGUACCGUGAGGGAAAGGUGAAAAGCACCCCGGAAGGGGAGUGAAACAGUUCCUGAAACCGUGUGCCUACAAGUAGUUAGAGCCCGUUAAUGGGUGAUAGCGUGCCUUUUGUAGAAUGAACCGGCGAGUUACGAUUUGUUGCAAGGUUAAGCGGAAAAAGCGGAGCCGUAGCGAAAGCGAGUCUGAAUAGGGCGCAUAAGUAACAGGUCGUAGACCCGAAACCAGGUGAUCUACCCAUGUCCAGGAUGAAGGUAAGGUAAUACUUACUGGAGGUCCGAACCCACGCACGUUGAAAAGUGCGGGGAUGAGGUGUGGGUAGCGGAGAAAUUCCAAUCGAACUUGGAGAUAGCUGGUUCUCUCCGAAAUAGCUUUAGGGCUAGCCUCGAGGUAAAGAGUCAUGGAGGUAGAGCACUGUUUGGACUAGGGGCCCUUCUCGGGUUACCGAAUUCAGAUAAACUCCGAAUGCCAUGUACUUAUACUCGGGAGUCAGACUGCGAGUGAUAAGAUCCGUAGUCGAAAGGGAAACAGCCCAGACCACCAGUUAAGGUCCCCAAAUAUAUGUUAAGUGGAAAAGGAUGUGGGGUUGCUUAGACAACCAGGAUGUUGGCUUAGAAGCAGCCACCAUUGAAAGAGUGCGUAAUAGCUCACUGGUCGAGUGACCCCGCGCCGAAAAUGUACCGGGGCUAAACAUAUUACCGAAACUGUGGAUGAACCUCUUUAGAGGUUCGUGGUAGGAGAGCGUUCUAAGGGCGGUGAAGUCAGACCGGAAGGACUGGUGGAGCGCUUAGAAGUGAGAAUGCCGGUAUGAGUAGCGAAAGAAGGGUGAGAAUCCCUUCCACCGAAUAUCUAAGGUUUCCUGAGGAAGGCUCGUCCGCUCAGGGUUAGUCGGGACCUAAGCCGAGGCCGAUAGGCGUAGGCGAUGGACAACAGGUAGAGAUUCCUGUACCAGUGCUAAUUGUUUAACCGAUGGGGUGACACAGAAGGAUAGGGAAUCGCACGAAUGGAAAUGUGCGUCCAAGCAGUGAGUGUGAGAAGUAGGCAAAUCCGCUUCUCGCGAAGCAUGAGCUGUGAUGGGGAAGGAAAUUAAGUACGGAAGUUCCUGAUUUCACGCUGUCAAGAAAAGCCUCUAGGAAGAGUAGUACUGCCCGUACCGCAAACCGACACAGGUAGAUGAGGAGAGAAUCCUAAGGUGAGCGAGAGAACUCUCGUUAAGGAACUCGGCAAAAUGACCCCGUAACUUCGGGAGAAGGGGUGCUCUAUUAGGGUGCAAGCCCGAGAGAGCCGCAGUGAAUAGGCCCAGGCGACUGUUUAGCAAAAACACAGGUCUCUGCAAAACCGUAAGGUGACGUAUAGGGGCUGACGCCUGCCCGGUGCUGGAAGGUUAAGAGGAGUGCUUAGCUUCGGCGAAGGUACGAAUUGAAGCCCCAGUAAACGGCGGCCGUAACUAUAACGGUCCUAAGGUAGCGAAAUUCCUUGUCGGGUAAGUUCCGACCCGCACGAAAGGCGCAACGAUCUGGGCACUGUCUCAACGAGAGACUCGGUGAAAUUAUAGUACCUGUGAAGAUGCAGGUUACCCGCGACAGGACGGAAAGACCCCGUGGAGCUUUACUGCAACCUGAUAUGGAAUGUUUGUACCGCUUGUACAGGAUAGGUAGGAGCCGAAGAGACGUGUGCGCUAGCAUACGAGGAGGCAAUGGUGGGAUACUACCCUGGCUGUAUGACCAUUCUAACCCGCCACGCUUAGCGCGUGGGGAGACAGUGUCAGGUGGGCAGUUUGACUGGGGCGGUCGCCUCCUAAAGAGUAACGGAGGCGCCCAAAGGUUCCCUCAGAAUGGAUGGAAAUCAUUCGCAGAGUGUAAAGGCACAAGGGAGCUUGACUGCGAGACUGACAAGUCGAGCAGGGACGAAAGUCGGGCUUAGUGAUCCGGUGGUUCCGCAUGGAAGGGCCAUCGCUCAACGGAUAAAAGCUACCCCGGGGAUAACAGGCUUAUCUCCCCCAAGAGUCCACAUCGACGGGGAGGUUUGGCACCUCGAUGUCGGCUCGUCGCAUCCUGGGGCUGUAGUCGGUCCCAAGGGUUGGGCUGUUCGCCCAUUAAAGCGGCACGCGAGCUGGGUUCAGAACGUCGUGAGACAGUUCGGUCCCUAUCCGUCGCGGGCGCAGGAAAUUUGAGAGGAGCUGUCCUUAGUACGAGAGGACCGGGAUGGACACACCGCUGGUGUACCAGUUGUUCCGCCAGGAGCAUCGCUGGGUAGCUAUGUGUGGCAGGGAUAAACGCUGAAAGCAUCUAAGCGUGAAGCCCCCCUCAAGAUGAGAUUUCCCAUUUCUUCGGAAAGUAAGAUCCCUGAAAGAUGAUCAGGUAGAUAGGU
rnacentral:rRNA from 1 species